rnacentral:rRNA from 1 species
GACGAACGCUGGCGGCGCGCCUAACACAUGCCAGUCGAACGGAGUCAAGAGGAGCUCGCUUUUCUUGACUUAGUGGCGAACGGGUGAGUAACGCGUGAGUAACCUGCCCUGGAGUGGGGGACAACAGUUGGAAACGACUGCUAAUACCGCAUAAGCCCACGGAUCCGCAUGGAUCUGCGGGAAAAGGAUUUAUUCGCUUCAGGAUGGACUCGCGUCCAAUUAGCUAGUUGGUGAGGUAACGGCCCACCAAGGCGACGAUUGGUAGCCGGACUGAGAGGUUGAACGGCCACAUUGGGACUGAGACACGGCCCAGACUCCUACGGGAGGCAGCAGUGGGGGAUAUUGCACAAUGGGGGAAACCCUGAUGCAGCGACGCCGCGUGGGGGAAGAAGGUUUUCGGAUUGUAAACUCCUGUCGUUAGGGACGAUAAUGACGGUACCUAACAAGAAAGCACCGGCUAACUACGUG